rnacentral:rRNA from 1 species
UACGAAGGGGCUAGCGUUGCUCGGAAUCACUGGGCGUAAAGGGUGCGUAGGCGGGCCUUUAAGUCAGUGGUGAAAGCUCCGAGCUUAACUCGGAAACUGCCAUUGAUACUAUUGGUCUUGAAUUCGGUCGAGGUUGGCGGAAUGUGUCGUGUAGCGGUGAAAUGCUUAGAUAUGACACAGAACACCGAUUGCGAAGGCAGCUAGCUAGACCGACAUUGACGCUGAGGCACGAAAGCGUGGGGAUCAAACAGG